rnacentral:ncRNA from 1 species
AACAGCACGUGCUGGACUUCUUCUCGCCAAGACCUGCCAGGUUACGAACAGAAACCUCAUAGGAGGCCGACGACUCCAGGCGAGCGGGCUGCUGACCGCGAAGCCGAACCGGAAGAAUGAGCGGAGGUAGAUGAGGAGCUUGGGCAGCGAUAGAUCACGAC